rnacentral:rRNA from 1 species
GACGAACGCUGGCGGCGUGCUUAACACAUGCAAGUCGAGCGGUAAGGCCCUUUCGGGGGUACACGAGCGGCGAACGGGUGAGUAACACGUGGGUGACCUGCCCUCAGCUCUGGGAUAAGCCUGGGAAACUGGGUCUAAUACUGGAUAUGACUCCACGGUGCAUGUCGUGGGGUGAAAGCCUUGUGCGGCUGAGGAUGGGCCCGCGGCCUAUCAGCUUGUUGGUGGGGUGAGGCCUACCAAGGCGACGACGGGUAGCCGGCCUGAGAGGGCGACCGGCCACACUGGGACUGAGACACGGCCCAGACUCCUACGGGAGGCAGCAGUGGGGAAUCUUGCGCAAUGGGCGAAAGCCUGACGCAGCGACGCCGCGUGAGGGAUGACGG